CUCCCACCCUCCCUUGCCCUGGCUCCAGGAGCCAAUCAGAACCCUUGGGGGCAAAGGGAGCAGGGCCAGGAACGGAGCCUUCUCUCGGAAGGAAGAAACGGCAGCGCAGCAGCAGCCACGGAGGCUGGGGGACAGGCAAGGCAAGUACGUUUAUCCUCAUAAUACAAACCGCCUUGGGCAAAAAAGAAAUAUCUUCAUGGAGAACAAAAGGGAAGAGAAACACCAGGUAAACGCUAUAUUGUAACUGUUGACAAUUAUGUCACGUUGUGUC
rnacentral:lncRNA from 11 species